rnacentral:rRNA from 10 species
GCUCACGGCCAAACCACCUUAGGCACGCCCGAUCUCGUCUGAUCUCGGAAGCUAAGCAGGGUCGGGCCUGGUUAGUACUUGGAGGGGUGACCGCCUGGGAAUACCAGGUGCUGUAAGCA